rnacentral:lncRNA from 1 species
GCACAAGUGCAUUUAAGACUAUUUUGUAAGAUUUUCAUAAUUCAAAGUAUAAAAAUUUUACAUUUCAUUAUUUUAAAAAUAUAUUUUUAAAUUUUAUGUGUAUGCAUGUUUUGCCUACUUGUAUGUGUUUACACUGAAGAUGCAUCCAGUACCUAAGGAGGCUGGAGUGGGUGCCAGACUCCUAGAGUAAAGCCCUGGCAGGGUUCAGAGCCUGAAGGAGCAUGUGUAGAAUCUGCAAAGAAGACGGACCUAGAAGUGCAGUGCUCACACUGGCACCACGGGUACUCAGGGCACCUGUACUUAGAAAUCUACUUUAUCACAGGUGAAAAGGCUUUCCAUUCACCUCAGUUUUUCACAUAUAAUCUCUUUUAAGAGCUUCCUACAUUCGACAAUAAUGUACACACUAGACGGUAGUUUUUCCCUUCAUUCUUCUCCUCAAUCGCCACUGUUUCCUGCUAACACAUCUACUCUAUCAAGAAACAGGAAACAUAGCUUCAAGCAAGCACUGAAUAUCGAAUCAUUGGUACAUAACCAAGUGACUGUAGUUGGCAGGAACUGCAGUUACAGUAUAGAGAGGUGAUAGACUAAUACCCAGGAAAUUUCUGAUUUAAUUAUUGACAACUAGCAUCUCCCCGUAUGCUAAAUCAUGAGAUCUAUUUUUCUCUCAAGCCCAGGGCGGUUGGCAAAUUAGUAACCUGAGUCAGCUCCUCAUCCUCGCUUGCCUCACCUCUCAAUGUUCCUAUUAAGGCUUGGAAGCAGUGACCCAGCAAGACCUUCCGAACCCUUGGAUAACCAACUACCUGUUGUUUGGAACACGUUAGCAGAUAAAUUGUUGUCAGAGCUAAGUUCCCAUCUAGAGAGAAUAUCCAAACAUUAGCUGAUGUUCCCAGACCGAGCCCUCAUGUUGACUAAACUGCAUCACCAUUAUUAACAAGCGCAGGAGUCGUGAUCUGCUCCACUCCCACAAUCCUCAGUGACAAACAAGAGUGAAUCACGUUCAGAGCUUUCUCUUCCUGAUUCUGGGGAAACAUCUGUCACAGAGGGAGGAAAAGUAGAAACUUCCAAUGGCAAAGCCAAAAAUGCAAACACAAGGCAAAAGUGAAUCAAGCAUUCCCUCAGCAAAGGCCAGGAGAUUCUCCACGACUAUCUCCACAGGUCCUUGCCAUGUGGGGAUCCAAGUCAGGCCUUGCCAUAAGGAGAUCUAUCAGGGUUACAGUAGUACACCUCUCUGAGCAGAGGCUUGGUCACCAACAACACCACCAACACCAGAUGCCUUGGAAAUGGAGUUACAGACACCAGGUAUAAACUACCAUUUGUGUUCUUAGAAACAAACCUAGCACCUCUGUAAGAGUAGGAUGUGUUUUUUAAA